AAAUGGCAAAUGAUGAAUUAUCAUUGACAAAUGGGUAAUUUGCAUCUGAUCUAUCUAUGAUGUUAAAACACCUUGGAGAACUGAUGCCAUUC